CCAAAAACGAGUGUGGCAGAUGACAUCAUCAGUGUGCAUCCUUCAGCACAAGGACAGUGUUGAAUUCUCCACAUGGUCUGCCAUUAGUCACCGUUCCUGGUGGAGCAGAACUGAGGUUGGGUGUGAUGGUCCCAAGCUCACAUUCACAGCCUCAGUUCCAGCAGCAAGGAGGCCGCGACAGGAGGAUUGCUGUGAGUUCGAGGGCAGCUUGGGCUACAUAGUCACAACUGAGACCUCAGUGAUCCCCGGAUGCUGUAAUGCUCCAGGACAAGACCACGCCUGCGGGAGAUGCCAGGGAGGAACCAAAUCUUCAUCUGCGUAGUUCCUCAUUGUUCUCAGAUUUCCACUGCCCCCCAGUCUUUUUACACCUUGUUUAUCCCAAUGUGAAGUACUGAACUCUGCAGUGCACUUGUUACAUCUGUUUCCCCACGUACUGAAUAAAAGGUGCUGCAAGCUAGGGGGCUUUGUCUUUGCUGCCCAGAGCAGCACUGAUCAGACCCAAAGCUCAGCUUCUUCUCAGUCUCAUUUGUCUACCUUUCCUG
ensembl:lncRNA